GGUUCCAUAGCUCAGUGGUAGAGCAUUUGCACUGCAUGCAGAAGGUCCCAGGUACAGUCCCUGGCAUCUCCU